AGAGAGAAAGAGAGAACACGGGUAAACUGGCAGGAGCGGUGAACUGAAGACAACUAUAUUCUAAGGAAUAUACUGGACAGGAACUCUAUUGAUCAUGCACACUAGCCUUCACAAUGCUCCUGAUUAUAAAAAACAUGAAUUAGCAUUGACAACACCCUAAUGCCCUUCAUACACGACCUAACGUACACGGCUAUCACACGGCAGAGGUCCUUAACCCAAAAUGGUGUGGAGGAAACGUAUUCUAAGCAAACAUAACCCCUGUCAGAUUAUCCAUUUGUCCUGUUGGUUAUGAACAAUACAUUUCACUGUGAUGUUAUGGUAAUGUCAUGUUCAGCUCUCUGUCGGAUUAACACCAUUAACUCCCUGUCUUUCAAAGACUUCCAGUACAUUUUAGGUAUGCAAGUGCUGAGUGUUCUUAUAUAGUUUUCCACUACUACUUAGUGCUGUCUAAAACUCAGUCAUAACUGUGUGUCUUCACUCUUAGCCUCGGUAAAGGGCAGCCCUGUGGUCCUGCCUGCUCUGCUCUGGUCUGGUCUGGUCUCCAUUAGAGUCUGUGGUGAAGGCUGAGACAGGACUCCCAGACUGGAAGACUGUGGAUGUCGGACAACAUCUGAGAUGGGCAGCUUGCAGAGCACAAUUGUACACACACACACACACACACACACACACACACACACACACACACACACACACACGCUGAUACAUAUCCAGACACACACACACACACACACACACACACACACAAUUAACCACAGAGACAUGGCAGUCAGAUGCAAAAACCCAUGCACACACCCCACUCAUGCAUUCAAAGAGAGCACUGGCAUGAGAGUCCAGCUCUACCCACAACACUGUACUUUCAUUGCAAAUCUGACCGCGCCGCACCCAUUACAGCCCCAAUAAAAGAUGCAGAUCUCAGACAGACAUGAAAUCUCACUGGAGUCCCAUUCACAAAUAACCAACGCUUUAACUGCAAAAACAUCCCCUCCUAAACCAGCCUCUUUCCUGUUAUUGUGACAUAUGUUGCCACAGGCCGUGUACUGGUGCCAGCGUGGUGGCAUUGACAUGGGUUUCGUCGGCAGAAAAGGAAUAAUCCUUACAACACUAUUGAAAACAGCCUCGGAUGCAACCAUAUGUUACAGACAGAACCCAAUCUUAAUGCCAGGCGCGAGGCAUUAAGCCACAGGGACUCAGCACACACAAUAGCAGCACCUGCUCCACUGAGCAGCAGCACAAAAGGCAGGCUUCAGCCAAACUCAUACAUUAAGGACUUAACUACAGGCCUCAGUACAGUUUUACGGCUGUUGGGGGUUUAAGAGGACAGGGCUGUGGAUAUCUUAGAACAGAAAGGCGAUAUACGUACACGUUUUAACUCAAGUACCUGGAUGUACAGUACAGUACUGUAAAGUAUUUCUAAAUCUGGAAUUCUCAAAAAUGGUUCUAUUCUUUGUAGGGUUCCGGAAACAAUAUGGCUGCGACUGCAACACAGCUGUUUAUGAAAGAGUGAGGUGAGCGAGAGGAGGUGCAUGACUGGGAUGCCGAGGUGUAGAGGACAUGAAGGAGCUAAAUGGAGAAGGAGCUGCAAGGAGGCGAGCGCACGUCAAAUACAUGCCCUCUCUGCUGUUUUAUGGUCACGAGCUGGAAGGCUGCACAGCGCGUCCUCUGGUGCUAAUCAAAUCAAGGUAACAGGAUUUGGGGUUGGUUGCGAUGGUUGGAGGGUGGCGGGUAUAAUAAACGAGGAAGCUGGCAUCCUGAUACAUUUUGGAACUAAGAAAGCUUUUCCGUCAGCGCUGGCAAACACCGCUGCCGGACAGGCGUGCGAUUAGAACCCAGCGAGCCCACAACAAGUCCCCAGGAGACAAAAAAAACAAACUUCCCUUCAGCGUGUUGGUGUUGCGCAACGGUUGUUUGGAGCUGCGCCGCCCCUUUAAACGAACUGAGUGCAUUGUUCUGGGGAGGAGGGAGUAGGUAAUGGCCGAGUAGCAAUACUGAGAUGGGUGUGUGUUGGCGGUGUGCAAUAAAAACAAGUGAUGUAAAAGGGAAACGCUCAAGAUUAACUUCCUCCCUGAUGACAUGGGCCAACGCAGCCAGAUCCUGACCCCUGAAAAAUGACAUGGUACAAAUGCCUCAAAUGGAUGAAGAGGACAGUCGUAAGGAAAAUGUCCAAACGUCACUGAAGACCUAAUGGACUUGGUAAACAGAACCACUAAAACAAAACACUGAAACUACUCAAGACACUGACAACACACACACAAACACAGGUGACACGGGCACAAACGAACACAGACGACUCACACCGAGGCGUGAGGUCCAGAGCUUGUCCUUACCCAUUGCAGCAGCGGACGCUCUGUUGAGGCGGGUGGAGGCGCUCCUCUGCAGGGGGCUGUGGGUCGGCUUGGCCAGCGCAGGAGUCUUCAGGCCUAGUCACACAGGUGAAACGCCUUAACAGAGGACAGGAAAUAACACUCUAUGUGCAGGGUCCCUGUUCUAAACUCAGGGCCUGGGUGCACUUCACCCAGUCCAUCCCAGUCCUUUAGGCCUUUUACAAAGGGCUUAGUGGUCGGACGCUGUCACCAGUGGAUCUCCACAUACCUUUAAAUAUGGGUGGUUGUAUUGUGAUGUAGGCAUGAGGGUGUGUUUCCUUGGAGGGUGGGGUAUUCUCCACUACAUCUAUUAACAUCCCACCCACUCAUUCUACUCAAUCUAUUCUAGAUUUAGAUACUUAUUAAGAUUUCAGAUUAGGUCAUGUUAUCUACAUUUCUGUGUCACUUAUUGUGGGAACUGAAUGUCCGUACUACUUUUUCCAAAACCUUUCCAUUACUUCUUGAUUCAAGAGUCUGUCUGGUAAGACAGCGAAUCUGAUCAUAAUAGAUCAGAAUUUUAGGUUGUAUCUGUGAAAACCAACUAAAAAAAAAUCACACGCUUUUGCCAUAUGGUCCAUUCUUCAAGAGAGACCAUUCUAGAUAAAAGUAAUGUGUGUACCCCAUCACUGACUAUUGAACAAAUCCUUAGGGAAUCAAUUACCCAUGCGGGAGUACGGUAAACAAAGACAUGCCUGAAAAACACAUGCUUGCCAUUAUAACAGCUGCUAUAAAAACUCUGAUGAAAUGCAAUGCAUAACAAAAGAUUACGUUUGGCUCUGAGACAGAGGUAUAAAAGUUAAGAGCCCAUUGCACAGCUAUCUGGCAUUAAUCACACAGGUUCUCCCUUACAGGCUGGGAACAGGCCUAUUACACAACCCCGGGCUAAACCCAUCAGUGGAGCAAUCAGAGGGUGAAUGUCUCAUGAACACAUUAAAGGGCUGCCAUUAACCACUGCAUUGAUUAGAGAGGUUGCUACAUGGAAGACACAUGCUCAAAGGAGGUUUCAAUUGAACAAUGGGCUUUUUCUAUUGCGCUUAAGAAGUAUUAAGAUAUUACAAUAUCAUACUUGAAAUCAUUAGUAUUAAUCUCGUUUAACUCCACAAGGAAAGUUUUCAAUGUGAAAUCCUUUCCAUGUGGUGUAAAAUAUCUGCAAAAAGAGCCACGCGAGACAAAUCUUACCAAAGAUCAGUCAGUCAGUCGCUCUUAAGGUCAUGAUGUAUUUGCAUGUCUGUACCUCUGUGUAUGUGUGCAUCUGUGCAUGCCUGUGUGGGAGUGGGAGUGCCUGCUUACUGUGGACAUUUCACACCCACCUAUUAUUGAGCUUUUGCCAGGAAUGGAGGUGGUCCUGUUUCGCAUGCCCACGAGUUUGGUGGCGAGGGGCUUGUUUGGGACCGGCGGGCCCACUGAGGAUGCAGGGCGACUGGGCUUCUCAUCUGGGUGUGUGAUCUUAGCUCCUGGAGCAGAGUUUGGAGCUGUGG
ensembl:lncRNA